rnacentral:rRNA from 1 species
AUUGAACGCUGGCGGCAGGCCUAACACAUGCAAGUCGAGCGGAUGAAGGGAGCUUGCUCCUGGAUUCAGCGGCGGACGGGUGAGUAAUGCCUAGGAAUCUGCCUGGUAGUGGGGGAUAACGUCCGGAAACGGGCGCUAAUACCGCAUACGUCCUGCGGGAGAAAGUGGGGGAUCUUCGGACCUCACGCUAUCAGAUGAGCCUAGGUCGGAUUAGCUAGUUGGUGGGGUAAAGGCCUACCAAGGCGACGAUCCGUAACUGGUCUGAGAGGAUGAUCAGUCACACUGGAACUGAGACACGGUCCAGACUCCUACGGGAGGCAGCAGUGGGGAAUAUUGGACAAUGGGCGAAAGCCUGAUCCAACCAUGCCGCGUGUGUGAAGAAGGUCUUCGGAUUGUAAAGCACUUUAAGUUGGGAGGAAGGGCAGUAAGUUAAUACCUUGCUGUUUUGACGGUACCAACAGAAUAAGCACCGGCUAACUUCGUG